rnacentral:ncRNA from 2 species
GUCCAUUCCGAGGGGAGCAUCCUGCGAUGCUGAGAUGGCAACGGGCCGGACCCUUGAACCUGAUCCGGGUCAUUCCGGCGUAGGAACGGAAAAAUCGGCUAUU